GAUGAACGCUGGCGGCGUGCCUAAUACAUGCAAGUCGAGCGAACGGACGAGAAGCUUGCUUCUCUGAUGUUAGCGGCGGACGGGUGAGUAACACGUGGAUAACCUACCUAUAAGACUGGGAUAACUUCGGGAGACCGGAGCUAAUACCGGAUAAUAUUUUGAACCGCAUGGUUCAAAAGUGAAAGACGGUCUUGCUGUCACUUAUAGAUGGAUCCGCGCUGCAUUAGCUAGUUGGUAAGGUAACGGCUUACCAAGGCAACGAUGCAUAGCCGACCUGAGAGGGUGAUCGGCCACACUGGAACUGAGACACGGUCCAGACUCCUACGGGAGGCAGCAGUAGGGAAUCUUCCGCAAUGGGCGAAAGCCUGACGGAGCAACGCCGCGUGAGUGAUGAAGGUCUUCGGAUCGUAAAACUCUGUUAUUAGGGAAGAACAUAUGUGUAAGUAACUGUGCGCAUCUUGACGGUACCUAAUCAGAAAGCCACGGCUAACUACGUG
rnacentral:rRNA from 1 species